CCCCUUUCAGGGUUGCACCUGGAGAGUUUCCAGUACUCUACUGGUCUCAGCUAUGGGAGGGAGAGUCAAGCAGAGGCCUACCCAUUCCAUUCCUAGCUUGGCCAGUGGCUAGUGGAAGGCAAUCUGCUACAAGG
rnacentral:snoRNA from 1 species